UGGGGAAUCUUGCGCAAUGGGCGAAAGCCUGACGCAGCGACGCCGCGUGGGCGAUGAAGGCCUUCGGGUCGAAAAGCCCUUUUUGAGGGGAUGAGGAAGGACAGUACCCUCAGAAUAAGCCUCGGCUAACUACGUGCCAGCAGCCGCGGUAAAACGUAGGAGGCGAGCGUUAUCCGGAUUUACUGGGCGUAAAGCGCGUGCAGGCGGAUUGGAGAGUUGGAUGUGAAAGCUCCCGGCUUAACUGGGAGAGGUCGUUCAAUACUUCCAGUCUUGAGUGCAGUAGAGGGAAGUGGAAUUCCGGGUGUAGUGGUGAAAUGCGUAGAUAUCCGGAGGAACACCAGUGGCGAAAGCGGCUUCCUGGACUGUAACUGACGCUCAGACGCGAAAGCUAGGGUAGCAAACG
rnacentral:rRNA from 1 species